GGAGGAUUGGCCGAGUGGUCGAAGGCGCUCGCUUGGAAAGCGGGUAUACCUCCGGGUAUCGAGAGUUCGAAUCUCUUGUCCUCCGCCA
rnacentral:tRNA from 1 species